rnacentral:lncRNA from 1 species
GAACGGAUAAGUAAAUUGAAAUCACAACUUAUGAAAUCACAACCGAAGGUAAUCAAUUCAUAUUACAAAUAUAAAUCAUGGCUUUGAAUUAACCUCUAGCCAACAUAAAUUUAAUUACACAUUAUUAAAACAGAAAUAAAAGAGAAGUUUGGAAAAAUUAAACCGAAAGAGGAUGAUCUGUUGCUGUGCAGCUUCACUGCGUCGUCAGUACGUGCUCUGUCAGUCACUCCUCUCUCCUGCACGUCCUCUCCUUCUUCCUGACCUCCCGCGCCUCACUUGCCCCGUCAGCCUUCCACGCUGACUGCUUUCCUUCUCAGCUUCUUUCUGCUCGGUUUCCUCUCGAACACAAGCUGCCACGCAGCAGCAAUUGCCGAGCUGCAAGGUCCUUCUAUUUUCAAGGCUGCACAGCAGCCAAGUCCACGUGCUCUCCCUUGUUUCACGCUGCCCAAGCAGCGUUUUUCAGUCUUUUCUCGUGCACAAGCUGCAAGGCAGCAGUGCCCUCUCAAUUGCUGCAAGGGCAGCAGUUUUGCUCGGUUUGUGCUCUCUCUCGCUGCCCAAAGGCAGAUUGUUUAUUUCCUGCGCAAGACAGUCUCUCGGUUUCUCCCCAAUCCCGUGCGCACUCUGCGCUUAUUCCCCCGCAGCUUCUUGCUGCUCUCUUUUCACGCUGCCCCAAAGGGCAGCUCUCCCCCCUCCUUUCUUCACGGAUUUCCACUCUUCUCUGUCUCCUCCUAUCUCCCGCUCCCCAGACCCCCAAUUAUUUUUCUCUCUGCGAACUGCCCAAAGGGCAGUCCCUUCUCCCGCUCCAAGACCCCCUUUCUCUCCCUACCCGUGUCAGUCUUCUUAUUUCAUUCUUUUCCUCUUUUCACGCUACCCCCCGUGUCUCACGUUUCCCUGCUUCUCUUCUUUUCCCCCUGCCAAGGGCCCGUGUCUCCCUUGGAUUCUUCUUUUCUGCCUUUCUUUUCUGGCAGCCUCGCUGCCUUCCCUUUCUUCUCACGUCCUUCCCCAAUUAUCCUUUAUUCUAUUAUUCUUUUCGUUUCUGGUCCCUGCCUUUGCGUCUUGGAUUCCUUCCUUUCCAGCUGCAAAGCAGCUUCCUGUUGUUUUCAGAAGUGAAGAAUAUGGGAGUCAACGAGGUAAAAAAAAUAUAAAUCAUGAUGCUCUCUUGCUCCCUCUUUGACCGACUCUCCCCAUUUCUUUUGUUUAUGCCGUGACAUAAUUCUACCAAUAAUCCAUGACAGAAUGAGAACGACUAAAGCAAUUUUCGACGAAUUUAUUAUUUAAAACUCAUUUGUGCUAUUUUUAUUUUCUUUGCAUAACAACUCCUAUAAACACAAAAAUAACGUAAAUAGCUCAAAAAUAUAAGGAACUAACUAAGAAAAGACGAGUGAAUUCGAAGUAAAAAUAUAUAUAAAUAUGAUCCGAUCAAAUACCCCCACACUUAACUUUUGCUAGUCCUCGAGCAAAACAAAGAAAACAAGAACAAGAAGUAACAAGAAAAAAAAAAAAAAACAUUAGCUUCCCUCUAUGUGACCCUCAUAGAAUUUCAUUUAAGAAAACAAAUUAUCAAGAACCAUAGCUAGCACCAAACAAGUUAAUCCAAGUUCAAAUUCCUAAUUCAAAUAUUAGCAGUAAUCUUUAAAUCAUCCUUGAAGUGUAGUGUGUGAGAUAGUCAUGCUAAUGCAAUUUCAAGUUUUUAUUUUUAAAAUCAUCAUAUGCAAACUAGCGACAUUCUCACGGGAUAUACACUCAAUCACACAUGUGUUUAGUUUAAAUGUGUUUCGCUCAAAGAAUCAAAUGUGAAAUUUCUACCAUAAGCUUGCAUAAAGAUCACUUCUCCACAGUCAUAAUUGCAAAACUUAAAUCAAGAGGACUUUUAUUGGAUGUAAUGAGGCUUAGGGAUAGGGUUAUUGAAACGAAAGAAUAGGAAAACACAAGUUCCAAGCUACAUUGCAAGCAAUUCUUUUGUUUUAGAUUUAUAAGAACUCAAGCUUUCCAACGAUUCUUUUGAAACCUCCAAUCACACCCUUAAACUGAAACUUUAAAAACAUUUUUUUUUUUUUUUCUUUUCUUUUCUUCUCUUUUUUUUUUUUUUUUUUUUUUUUUUUUUUAAAUACAAACAUGAAAUACCCCCACACUUAUUCUUUUGCCAAACACCUUCAAAGUACUUCACAAACAUUUCUCAUAAGACAAUCUCACAUUGCUCGCUUGGAAAGGGUAAGGAAAAAUGUUUCAGGUAUAAGGGUAGACAUAUCUGGUGAUAAGAAAUAAAAGGCUCAACAAACACGGCUCAAAUUGGCAAACUAAUGAUAUCAUUUUUCUUUGGGAAACAUGGUUAUUUGGGCCAUAGUGGUAAACCUAAUGCCUCUAUCAUUUCCAAGUUCAUGCAAUCAAUGACAAACAUUUCGAAAGAUCGUUACGCAAGUUCUAGAGAUGUAUCUCACAUAAGUUCAUCACACAUGAAAGAAUAGGAGUGUAUGAAAAAUGCACACAGUUUCAAUCGGCUCAAAAACUCACAUAGGAUGUAUAUGGUCACUAAAUUCACAUAUGAAGCUUUAAGUCAUACUUUAGUUUCACAUUAACAAGGCUAUGUGCAUUUGGUUUUUCAAAGAUGAUCAAACAUGUACAAAACUAACAAAAGAAUUAGGAAUUUCACAAAACACAUGUUAACUAAGUUCUUGAUGAUCAUGGUUCAAAUUUUUUUCAAUUAUAUCAUUGGGUCGGGAAACUAACAAAAAUCUAAUUCAAAACAAUAAGGAAAACAAGACAAUAUUUUUGGAUUUUUAAAUUUUCCGAAUUUUUUUUUUUUUUUUUAAUUUUUAAUUUUUUUUUUUUUUUUUUUUUUUUAAUUUUUUUUUUUUUUUUUUUUUAAAAGAAAACAAAACUAAUUAAGAACACAAAAAAAACAACACAGAGACAAAUGAAAUUCUAGAGAUUUCUACCCCCACACUUAAACUUGACAUUGUCCCCAAUGUCAGAAAACACUAUAAUGCAAAUAAAAAAUAAAAUAAAAUAAAUAAAUAAUAAGAAACAAAAUAACGCAAUUGGACUGAAAACUUCCCUAAUUUGCAGUAAAAUCAAGCGAUGACCCCCAAGCUAAAAUUCUGCAAUCAACUUCAAGGGUGGAAAUAACCAAAAGUUCCUGCAAAGAAAAGAAAUAAUUCAGUUAAGUACGCAAGAAAAUUAAUUAAAAAAAAAUUGCAAACGAAAAAUUGAAAAUUACGAUAAAAGAUAAUGAAUAAAACUAAUAAGUAAUCAUUGGUCGUGCUUGUUGACUUUCCACAGCUUUCCUCUUGAACGGGGUGACACUUAGCUUUUUACUAUUUGAUGAUAUUGUACGGCGGAGCUUUGCUCUUUGGUGAUGUUGCAGUUCCUUAUUUGUUCUCCAAGCAGAUGUGGCAGCUUCUCUAGUUCUUCAUCUCAGACUCCUUCUGCUGGGAUGAUUGUGCAAGCUGCAUUCUUCUCUGCUUGUUUCCUCUGCAUGGCGGGCAGGCACGAGGGAGAGGUGUUGGUCUGUUUCUUUCUUCAAUCUUUCCAAGUGCCCACCUCUUGCUCUCUUUCUCCUUGUCCUUAGUUGAGGAUGAAUCAGCACGUUGUCUCCACAUGCUUCGAGGUAUCAUCUUCACUUCCCUUAUACGUAAGAGACGAAGAGGAAACACAAGAUGAUGAGUACUCGAGAGCAAGUGCUGGCUGGAGAAAGGACAGGGAGAAAGCAUGAUAUGAGAUACUCUUGCUUUCAACCUUCAUGAUAUGAAAUACUUUUGCUUUGAAUGGGUUGUUCGCAGGAGUAUCCCAAGGAAUGAGGAACACAGAGUAACUUAGGAGGAUUCUUUGGGAAUGCAUUUUCGGAGAUGAAGAAGUGUUGAGAGGGUGUGCUGAGAGAGUGUGCUUUUGCUGUGGAAGGCGAAGGUAGAAACUUAUAGGGCUUUUCUUCACAACCGGAACUAUUCUCUCACUCAUUGUCGGCAGCCGGUGGAUGGAUGAAUAGUACACAUUACGCGCUUUCUGACAAAGCUGCCCGUAAUUUCCGCAAAGCAGAUUCCUCAUUGAUAUCUGGAAUCGGCGCUUCGAGCUCUGAGCAACGUCGAUUGUAGAGGUAGCAUGUGACACGUGCGGAUAAAUCUGGAAAAGAAGAUUUGCCCGUGGGUUGAAGCCCAGCUUUUGAGAAAGCUAGCGUGUCUUUGACUGUUGAAUUUCCCUCUUCGAUUUCUGAAUUGGUGCUUCGACAAACUGCCCGAGAAUUUCGCAAAGCAAUUUACGUGUGACAAGUGACGACACGUCUGGACAAAUUGAUCUUUUGAAAUCCGGGGUUCGGCUCGUGGUUUCUGAGCAAGCCCAGCCUUUAAGAAAUGAAACGCCUCUUUUGAGAAAAGAAUCCGGCUUUUGAGAAAGGAGCCCCGACUCUUCGAUUUGCGAGAGGACGCUUCUCUGAGGAGCGCCUCUCCGAUUUCUUCUUUUUAUAGAGGCGUUAAGCUUGUUCCACAACACACUUGAGCACCCUCCUGUAAACACUCUCUUCUUGCACUUGUUUAAUCUUGAUCAUUCCGACUCUCUUCUUUCUUCACCACCUCUGAAAAAUGUCUGGCCCUUCCGAUCGUCGUUUUGACUUGAACAUUGGUGAAGAGGCAGCUCCGCCUUCACCAGACAAUAUAUGGCGCCCAUCCUUCAUAUCCCCUACCGGUCCUCUUACCGUGGGGGAUUCGGUGAUAAAAAAUGACAUGACCGCUGCGGUGGUGGCCCGAAACCUUGUCACUCCCAGAGAUAACCGACUGCUCGCUAGACGGUCUGAUGAGUUGGCUGUGAAGGAGUCUCUGGCUCUUAGCGUGCAGUGUGCGAGUUCCGUAUCCAACAUGGCCCAACGCCUAUAUGCCCGAACCCGUCACGUUGAAUCGUUGGUGGCUGAAAUACAGAGUCUCAAAGAGGAGAUUAGAGGACUCAAGCAUGAAAAUAAACAAUUGCACAAGCUUGCACACAACUAUGCCACAACCAUGAAGAGGAAGAUUGACCAGAUGCAGGACACCGAUGGUCAAAUUUUACUUGAUCAUCGGAGGUUUGUGGGUUUGUUCCAACCGCAUCUGCCUUCGUCUUCUGGAGCGGCACCGCGUAGUGAAGCUCCAACUGAUCAACCUCUGCCGCCUCCUCCUUCUGUGGCCCCGCCGACUGCUGAAGCCCCGCCGACUGCUGAAGCACCACCCGACCAAUGAAUACUAUUAGUUUACAUUAUUGUAAAAUAUUUGCAUUUUUUUUUUUUUUUUUUUUUUUAUUUUUUUUUUUUUUUUUUUUUUUUUUUUUUUUUUUUUUUUGCAUUAAUUUUAAAUUUUAUCUUUUUUUUUUUUUUUUUUUUUUUUUUUUUUAAUGUGUAAAUUAAUGUAAAGAGACUUUGGUUAACCUUCCCUCACACUUAAACUAAAUAACACAAACUCACAGAAAUCAACCAAUUAACACAACUAACUAAACAAAACAAAAUGAAAGCAGUAAAGAUAAGGGUGGAAGAAUGCAAAGCUGAUUGGGUUAGUGAUUCCAAAGUCUCCCUUCGUUGAAUGCUUGGGUUGCCUCCCAAGAAGCGCUUGAUUUAACGUCUUUAGCCGGACGCAUCUUUCCUUUAAAUUUCCCUCGGCUCCAUUUGAACCUAAAAUCAAAGAAAGAAAAAUAAAUCAAAUAUCAAAAGUAAAAUACACAAACACCAAUAUAAACAUAAACAAAAACAAAAAUAAAAGGAUUAGCAAAGUUGCUAAUCCCCGGCAACGGCGCCAAAAUUUGAUGCGAAAUAUAUAAGCACACAAAUUAAACCCUCUUUUUGACAAUUGUAGUAUAGAUGUAAGUAGGGUAUCGUUCUAGGCCGGGGAUUAGGAGGGAUUGCUAAUCUAUUCUAAAUUAAUUUAAAAAUAUUAAACAAGACUCAAGGAUACAAAACUAGGCUAAAAACUCUAAUAACUCGAAACACACUUAAAAUGACUCAAAAUAAUGAAAACAAUUAAAUUAAACACUAGGAACUGAAAUGGAUGGAAAUUAAAUUAAAAGACUAACAAUAAAGAAAACUAAAUAAAUAAUAUAAUUUAAUAAUGGAUGGGUGUUUGGUUUUGACUAGAAGUAAAUUAAACUUAAAUAAAUUACAGAAUUGACAAAAACAUGAAAUUAAGGUGAAAUGAUAAAUGACGGACUAGCUAGAGGGUUCUUCUCCACACAUGACACAUAUGCAACCUAAAUUGAUUUUCAGUUGUUCUUUCAAUAAAUUGUAGUAUCUCAAUACUCCAGAUUAACCGUGAACAGCACUUUUUUAAUCUUCAAGUUUUCCUUAAGUUAUUGAAUUGGACGGGAAAACGCAUACAACAAUUCAAAACAUUCUUCAAAAGUCCCCUACGUGGAAAGCACAAUAGAGAUACAAUCAAAGAUCAUUAAACUUUGUGAAAACUAUAAGCAUUGACGAGGCAUUCGUAAUUAUGAAAAGCAUGAUACUCUUGCCAAGAAUUUACUUAACGUGAUUGUGACUAGCAACCUUUACUACUUGUGAAAAUAAGUUCAUAACGAUUAGGUGAAAUUCACUUAUAUUCUAGCAUCAAAUUCAUGCAUGUGAAUUAAGCGUGCACUCUCAACCAACAUACACAAAUCAGUUUUUAUACGAACGGAUAAGUAAAUUGAAAUCACAACUUAUGAAAUCACAACCGAAGGUAAUCAAUUCAUAUUACAAAUAUAAAUCAUGGCUUUGAAUUAACCUCUAGCCAACAUAAAUUUAAUUACACAUUAUUAAAACAGAAAUAAAAGAGAAGUUUGGAAAAAUUAAACCGAAAGAGGAUGAUCUGUUGCUGUGCAGCUUCACUGCGUCGUCAGUACGUGCUCUGUCAGUCACUCCUCUCUCCUGCACGUCCUCUCCUUCUUCCUGACCUCCCGCGCCUCACUUGCCCCGUCAGCCUUCCACGCUGACUGCUUUCCUUCUCAGCUUCUUUCUGCUCGGUUUCCUCUCGAACACAAGCUGCCACGCAGCAGCAAUUGCCGAGCUGCAAGGUCCUUCUAUUUUCAAGGCUGCACAGCAGCCAAGUCCACGUGCUCUCCCUUGUUUCACGCUGCCCAAGCAGCGUUUUUCAGUCUUUUCUCGUGCACAAGCUGCAAGGCAGCAGUGCCCUCUCAAUUGCUGCAAGGGCAGCAGUUUUGCUCGGUUUGUGCUCUCUCUCGCUGCCCAAAGGCAGAUUGUUUAUUUCCUGCGCAAGACAGUCUCUCGGUUUCUCCCCAAUCCCGUGCGCACUCUGCGCUUAUUCCCCCGCAGCUUCUUGCUGCUCUCUUUUCACGCUGCCCCAAAGGGCAGCUCUCCCCCCUCCUUUCUUCACGGAUUUCCACUCUUCUCUGUCUCCUCCUAUCUCCCGCUCCCCAGACCCCCAAUUAUUUUUCUCUCUGCGAACUGCCCAAAGGGCAGUCCCUUCUCCCGCUCCAAGACC